rnacentral:rRNA from 1 species
ACUGAACGCUGGCGGCAGGCCUAACACAUGCAAGUCGAGCGGAUGAGUGGAGCUUGCUCCAUGAUUCAGCGGCGGACGGGUGAGUAAUGCCUAGGAAUCUGCCUGGUAGUGGGGGACAACGUUUCGAAAGGAACGCUAAUACCGCAUACGUCCUACGGGAGAAAGUGGGGGAUCUUCGGACCUCACGCUAUCAGAUGAGCCUAGGUCGGAUUAGCUAGUUGGUGAGGUAAAGGCUCACCAAGGCGACGAUCCGUAACUGGUCUGAGAGGAUGAUCAGUCACACUGGAACUGAGACGCGGUCCAGACUCCUACGGGAGGCAGCAGUGGGGAAUAUUGGACAAUGGGCGAAAGCCUGAUCCAGCCAUGCCGCGUGUGUGAAGAAGGUCUUCGGAUUGUAAAGCACUUUAAGUUGGGAGGAAGGGCAGUAAGUUAAUACCUUGCUGUUUUGACGUUACCAACAGAAUAAGCACCGGCUAACUUCGUGCCAGCCGCCGCCGUAAUAC